rnacentral:rRNA from 1 species
GACGAACGCUGGCGGCGUGCUUAACACAUGCAAGUCGAACGGACCUUCUGAUCUUUUGGUUGGUUGGUUAGUGGCGAACGGGUGAGUAACACGUGAGUAACCUGCCCUUCUCUUCGGGAUAACUGUCGGAAACGGUGGCUAAUACCGGAUAUUCAUAUGCUGUCGCAUGGUGGUGUGUGGAAAGAUUUUUUGGUGGGGGAUGGACUCGCGGCCUAUCAGCUUGUUGGUGAGGUAGUGGCUUACCAAGGCUUUGACGGGUAGCCGGCCUGAGAGGGCGACCGGGCAGACUGGGACUGAGAUACGGCCCAGACUCCUACGGGAGGCAGCAGUGGGGAAUAUUGCACAAUGGGCGGAAGCCUGAUGCAGCGACGCCGUGUGCGGGAUGACGGCCUUCGGGUUGUAAACCGCUUUCAACUGUGACGAAUUUGACGGUAGCAGUAGAAGAAGCACCGGCUAACUACGUGCCAGCAGCCGCAGUAA